rnacentral:lncRNA from 1 species
CCCUGCCUCUGUCACCUAAGUAAGUGCUGGAUCACAAACAUGUCUCAUUACUCCCUGCUUCAGAGACAGUUUUGAUAUUCUCACUGAAAGAAGACAUUAGGAGUGCUACUCAUGUGAGCAGUUUUAGGGUCAAAGACACAGCUCCAGGAUUCCUUUUUCCUCCCUGUUCCUUACUCUAUGGACUAUGGCUUUGACCCAGCAUGGAGACCUGGAGUAUUCCCACAUCUCCUCUCUCCUUUCCAAAGGCCUAUGGGAGGGAACUCACAGAUCCACUUUCCUCAGGCUUAGCAUUGAGUUCACCAGACUUUGAGCCUGUUCCCACUAUGUGCCUUUCUAGAAGUUUUUACUAUCUCUUCCUUGUCCUAAAAGACAACACUUUGCACAUGGGCCUGUCCAUAUGGACAGUAGCAGAGUGUGGUCUCAAGAUAGUUCUUCUGGGAAAGUGGUAGUGUUUGUUCUUCAUGGACCUUAAGAACUCUUGACAGGAUGAGGGUGAGAAAUACCUUCUCCAUGGUAACUGGACUUUCUGAUGUUAUUCCUAGUUUCCAGGACUCAAGUCAGAUUAAAAUAGAGCCUGAAACCCAGUAACCCUUCACUUCUGUGAUGCUGUGACUGCCUCUACUGACGGCAGGUGAGUGGGCAAGGGGACAAGGCCUGGUGGAGGGCAGAUGAGCUGUCUCUUAUUUCCCCCAGAGGGCUCCUGGGUCAGGAUUCAAGACUGUGGUUGGCAGUGCCAACCUGAGUGACCGUACAAAAGGGUCUGUGACUCUUCAUGUCAUAUAGUUUCCUCUGUCCCUCCGUCCACUAUUCCAAUGACUUGUGUGUGGCCAAUGAAUACAGGGCAGGGACAAACUAUAGCACUCCUGGAGUUACACCAACAAAGAUCAAUCAGUGGAAGGCCAAUUCUACCUCUUCAAGAAAUUGAGGAAAACACAACAACAAUAACAACAACUAACCCCUGCUUAUCAAAGCAUGGAAAAAGUACAUAGGGAAAAGGCCCUCAUGUGACAGAUAUAAGAGAGCCAGCACUGUGCAUAUAAUGAGCAAGGAAUAAAAUCAGAAAUGGGGCUGUGAGGAUCA